rnacentral:lncRNA from 1 species
UAUUUUAUGCUGCUGUGCUGGUAUACUGAUAUAUUGUCUGUAAGUUUAAUAUAUAGUAGCAUCAAUAUUCGGCUAUAAUAGCCUGCGUGUUUCUUAGAUUUCUAAUGGUAACGUUUUUGGAGAGUGUUCAACCUUGAGAUUUAGGCGACGAUGUGAAUUCGGUAUAGAAUAGGUGUGGAUAUGUAGAAAAGGACUGUUACCAUCAAGAUCCGGGUCAAUCGGUUUAAUAGCCUGCAAGUGAGUCACUUGGGGGGCUCGGAAUGGUAUUAUCUUUAGAUGAAUCAAGUCUAACCCUUUUUCUGGAAUCCAUAAGAUUAAACUGUUGAUGUCCCAAUAGGAACAGCUGCUUUCAGUAGAUAUGCAUCGGUGCAAUCGUUAGAUUAGAAUCUUCUUCUUCUUCUUCUUCUCUUUCUCCGCUCCUUUCGAGGCCUUGUUGUCUCACUCAUAUAGUUUAAUUCAUUUUUCCUAUGAAUGGAACGGGUAGCAAGUUAUCUUUUUCUCAAAAAAGAAAAUAUUCCGCUAUAAUGUGAGAUGCAUCUAAUGUUACCAUUUUUAAGCUAAAAUUUUUAUCAAUCACAAAAUUAUGACACAUUAGUAAGUAUUUUUUUGUACCGUUAUUAUAUAUUUAGUUUAUUAUAUAGGUUAAUAUAAUUGUGAUAUAUCAGACUUGAGAUGCAAAAUUAAGGAUAGUUUAAGAAUUUUAGUCAGAAUAAAAG